AGAGUUUGAUCCUGGCUCAGAAUGAACGCUGGCGGCGUGCUUAACACAUGCAAGUCGAACGAUGAAGCCUAGCUUGCUAGGUGGAUUAGUGGCGCACGGGUGAGUAAUAUAUAGAUAACGUGCCUCUUAGUCUGGGAUAGCCAUUGGAAACGAUGAUUAAUACUAGAUACUCCUUCUCCUUCUAAUUGGAGUUGGGAAAGUUUUUCGCUAAGAGAUCGGUCUAUAUCCCAUCAGCUUGUUGGUAGUGUAAGAGACUACCAAGGCUAUGACGGGUAGCGGGUUUGAGAGGAUGAUCCGCCACACUGGUACUGAGACACGGACCAGACUCCUACGGGAGGCAGCAGUGAGGAAUAUUGCACAAUGGGGGAAACCCUGAUGCAGCAACGCCGCGUGGAGGAUGACGCAUUUCGGUGUGUAAACUCCUUUUAUAUGUCAAGAAAAUGACGGUAGCAUAUGAAUAAGCACCGGCUAACUCCGUGCCAGCAGCCGCGGUAAUACGGAGGGUGCAAGCGUUAUUCGGAAUCACUGGGCGUAAAGGACGCGUAGGCGGGAUGCCAAGUCUGAUGUGAAAUCCUAUGGCUUAACCAUAGAACUGCAUUGGAAACUGGUAACCUAGAGUAUGGGAGGGGGAGAUGGAAUUAGUGGUGUAGGGGUAAAAUCCGUAGAUAUCACUAGGAAUACCGAAAGCGAAGGCGAUCUCCUGGAACAAUACUGACGCUAAGGCGUGAAAGCGUGGGGAGCAAACGGGAUUAGAUACCCCGGUAGUCCACGCCCUAAACGAUGAACACUAGUCGUCGCUCUGCUAGUCAGGGCGGUGAUGCACUUAACAGAUUAAGUGUUCCGCCUGGGGAGUACGGUCGCAAGAUUAAAACUCAAAGGAAUAGACGGGGACCCGCACAAGUGGUGGAGCAUGUGGUUUAAUUCGAAAAUACGCGAAGAACCUUACCUGGCCUUGACAUGCAUCUCUAAGUCGGUGAAAGCCGGCGAGGUAGCAAUACCAAUUUGCACAGGUGCUGCAUGGCUGUCGUCAGCUCGUGUCGUGAGAUGUUGGGUUAAGUCCCGCAACGAGCGCAACCCUCAUGUUCUGUUGCCACUUGAACGAGAGUUCGAAGCACUCUGAACAGACUGCCCCAUUUAAAUGGGGAGGAAAGUGGGGAUGACGUCAAGUCAGUAUGGCCCUUACGGCCAGGGCUGCACACGUACUACAAUGCCCGGCACAAAGGGAUGCAAUACCGCGAGGUGGAGCGAAUCCCAUAAAACCGGGCCCAGUUCGGAUUGUAGUCUGCAACUCGACUACAUGAAGCCGGAAUCGCUAGUAAUGGCGCAUCAGCUACGGCGCCGUGAAUACGUUCCCAGGCCUUGUACACACCGCCCGUCACAUCAUGAAAGCCGGUUGUACCCGAAGUCGUCGCGCCAACCCGCAAGGGAGGCAGGUGCCGAAGGUAUGGCUGGUAAUUGGGAUGAAG
rnacentral:rRNA from 1 species